UACGGAGGGGGCUAGCGUUGUUCGGAAUUACUGGGCGUAAAGCGCACGUAGGCGGCCUUGUAAGUUAGAGGUGAAAGCCCAGGGCUCAACCCUGGAAUUGCCUUUAAGACUGCAUCGCUUGAACACGGGAGAGGUGAGUGGAAUUCCGAGUGUAGAGGUGAAAUUCGUAGAUAUUCGGAAGAACACCAGUGGCGAAGGCGGCUCACUGGACCGUUGUUGACGCUGAGGCGCGAAGGCCGGGGGAGCGAACGGG
rnacentral:rRNA from 1 species